rnacentral:rRNA from 1 species
CCAGCCCGCUCAGAAACUCAAAGGAAUUGACGGGGGCCCGCACAAGCGGUGGAGUAUGUGGUUUAAUUCGAUGCAACGCGAAGAACCUUACCUGGUCUUGACAUCCCGGAGACCCUUAGGAAACUAGGGGGUGCUUCCAUCUGGAAGAAUCUGGAGACAGGUGCUGCAUGGCUGUCGUCAGCUCGUGUCGUGAGAUGUUGGGUUAAGUCCCGCAACGAGCGCAACCCUCGACUUUAGUUACCAUCAUUAAGUUGGGUACUUUAAAGUAACCGCCGGUGAUAAGCCGGAGGAAGGUGGGGAUGACGUCAAGUCCUCAUGGCCCUUACGCGCUGGGCUACACACGUGCUACAAUGGCAAGUACAGUGGGCAGCAAUCCCGCGAGGGUGAGCUAAUCUCCAAAACUUGUCUCAGUUCGGAUUGUUCUCUGCAACUCGAGAGCAUGAAGGCGGAAUCGCUAGUAAUCGCGGAUCAGCAUGCCGCGGUGAAUACGUUCCCAGGCCUU